GCUAUCGCUACAGGAUGGGCCCGCGGCGCAUUAGCUAGUUGGUGAGGUAACGGCUCACCAAGGCAACGAUGCGUAGCCGACCUGAGAGGGUGAUCGGCCACACUGGGACUGAGACACGGCCCAGACUCCUACGGGAGGCAGCAGUAGGGAAUCUUCCACAAUGGACGAAAGUCUGAUGGAGCAACGCCGCGUGAGUGAAGAAGGAUUUCGGUUCGUAAAACUCUGUUGUAAGGGAAGAACAAGUACAGUAGUAACUGGCUGUACCUUGACGGUACCUUAUUAGAAAGCCACGGCUAACUACGUGCCAGCAGCCGCG
rnacentral:rRNA from 1 species